rnacentral:rRNA from 1 species
UACGUAGGGGGCAAGCGUUACCCGGAUUCACUGGGCGUAAGCGCGUGUAGGCGGCUGGCCAAGCGUGGUGUGAAAUCUCCGGGCUCAACCCGGAAACUGCACUGCGAACUGGCCUGGCUGGAGUGCAGGAGAGGGAUGCGGAAUUCACGGUGUAGCGGUGAAAUGCGUAGAUAUCGUGAGGAACACCAGUGGCGAAGGCGGCAUCCUGGCCUGUAACUGACGCUGAGACGCGAAAGCGUGGGGAGCGAACCGG